AUUGGAGGGCAAGUCUGGUGCCAGCAGCCGCGGUAAUUCCAGCUCCAAUAGCGAAUACUAAUUCUGCUGCAGUUAAAAAGCUCGUAGUUGAAUUUCUGCGUAUGCCUAGUUCUGGCUUUGGUCAAGCUAGUGUGUGCGCAUCCGCUUGCAAAUCCGGACCGGCGUUUACUCGUCGACCGGGGGAGUAGGCCCUUUACCUUGAAAAAAUUAGAGUGUUUCAGGCAGGCAAUGGCUCGAAUACAUUAGCAUGGAAUAAUAGAAUAGGA
rnacentral:rRNA from 1 species